rnacentral:rRNA from 1 species
CGCGUAGGUGGGAUAGUAAGUCUGCUUUAAAAGUGCGGGGCUCAACCCCGUGAUGGGGUGGAAACUGCUAUUCUUGAGUGCAGGAGAGGAAAGCGGAAUUCCCAGUGUAGCGGUGAAAUGCGUAGAUAUUGGGAGGAACACCAGUGGCGAAGGCGGCUUUCUGGACUGUGUCUGACACUGAGGCGCGAAAGCUAGGGGGAGCGAACGGGAUUAGAUACCCCGGUAGUCCUAGCCGUAAACGAUGGGUACUAGGUGUAGGGGGUAUCGACCCCCCCUGUGCCGGAGUUAACGCAAUAAGUACCCCGCCUGGGGAGUACGGCCGCAAGGUUGAA